rnacentral:rRNA from 1 species
UACGUAGGGCGCAAGCGUUAUCCGGAAUUAUUGGGCGUAAAGAGCUCGUAGGCGGUCUGUCGCGUCUGCUGUGAAAAUCCAGGGCUCAACCCUGGACCUGCAGUGGGUACGGGCAGACUAGAGUGCGGUAGGGGAGAUCGGAAUUCCUGGUGUAGCGGUGAAAUGCGCAGAAUAUCAGGAGGAACACCGGUGGCGAAGGCGGAUCUCUGGGCCGUAACUGACGCUGGAGGAGCGAAAGCAUGGGGAGCGAACAGGAAUUAG